rnacentral:rRNA from 1 species
AAGGUGGGGAUGACGUCAAGUCCUCAUGGCCCUUAUGGUAGGGCUUCACACGUCAUACAAUGGUCGGUACAGAGGGUUGCCAAGCCGCGAGGUGGAGCCAAUCCCUUAAAGCCGAUCGUAGUCCGGAUCGUAGUCUGCAACUCGACUACGUGAAGUCGGAAUCGCUAGUAAUCGCAGAUCAGCAUGCUGCGGUGAAUACGUUCCCGGGUCUU